AUUGAACGCUGGCGGCAUGCCUUACACAUGCAAGUCGAACGGCAGCACGGGAGCAAUCCUGGUGGCGAGUGGCGAACGGGUGAGUAAUAUAUCGGAACGUGCCCAGUCGUGGGGAUAACGUAGCGAAAGCUACGCUAAUACCGCAUACGAUCUAUGGAUGAAAGCGGGGGAUCGCAAGACCUCGCGCGAUUGGAGCGGCCGAUAUCAGAUUAGGUAGUUGGUGAGGUAAAGGCUCACCAAGCCGACGAUCUGUAGCUGGUCUGAGAGGACGACCAGCCACACUGGGACUGAGACACGGCCCAGACUCCUACGGGAGGCAGCAGUGGGGGAAUUUUUGGGACAAUGGGCGCAAGCCUGAUCCAGCAAUGCCGCGUGCAGGAUGAAGGCC
rnacentral:rRNA from 1 species